GAUGAAGAACGUAGCGAAAUGCGAUAAGUAAUGUGAAUUGCAGAAUUCAGUGAAUCAUCGAAUCUUUGAACGCACAUUGCGCCCGCCAGUAUUCUGGCGGGCAUGCCUGUCCGAGCGUCAUUUCAACCCUCGAACCCCUCCGGGGGGUCGGCGUUGGGGAUCGGCCCUGCCUCUUGGCGGUGGCCGUCUCCGAAAUACAGUGGCGGUCUCGCCGCAGCCUCUCCUGCGCAGUAGUUUGCACACUCGCAUCGGGAGCGCGGCGCGUCCACAGCCGUUAAACACCCAACUUCUGACAUGUUGACCUCGGAUCAGGUAGGAAUACCCGCUGAACUUAAGCAUAUCAAUAAGCGGAGGA
rnacentral:misc_RNA from 1 species